GUGUUGAGGAAGAUAAUGACGGUACUCAACAAGGAAGUGACGGCUAACUACGUGCCAGCAGCCGCGGUAAAACGUAGGUCACAAGCGUUGUCCGGAAUUACUGGGUGUAAAGGGAGCGCAGGCGGGAGAACAAGUUGGAAGUGAAAUCCAUGGGCUCAACCCAUGAACUGCUUUCAAAACUGUUUUUCUUGAGUAGUGCAGAGGUAGGCGGAAUUCCCGGUGUAGCGGUGGAAUGCGUAGAUAUCGGGAGGAACACCAGUGGCGAAGGCGGCCUACUGGGCACCAACUGACGCUGAGGCUCGAAAGUGUGGGUAGCAAACAGGAUUAGAUACCCUGGUAGUCCACACCGUAAACGAUGAUUACUAGGUGUUGGAGGAUUGACCCCUUCAGUGCCGCAGUUAACACAAUAAGUAAUCCACCUGGGGAGUACGACCGCAAGGUUGAAACUCAAAGGAAUUGACGGGGGCCCGCACAAGCAGUGGAGUAUGUGGUUUAAUUCGACGCAACGCGAAGAACCUUACCAAGUCUUGACAUCCUGCGACGCACAUAGAAAUAUGUGUUUCCUUCGGGACGCAGAGACAGGUGGUGCAUGGUUGUCGUCAGCUCGUGUCGUGAGAUGUUGGGUUAAGUCCCGCAACGAGCGCAACCCUUAUGGUCAGUUACUACGCAAGAGGACUCUGGCCAGA
rnacentral:rRNA from 1 species